GGCUGGAUAGCUCAGUUGGUGAGAGUGUGGUGCUGACAACACCAAGGCAGCCGAUUCGAUCCCCAUAUGGGACU